rnacentral:rRNA from 1 species
UACGUAGGUGGCAAGCGUUGUCCGGAAUUAUUGGGCGUAAAGCGCGCGCAGGCGGUCCUUUAAGUCUGAUGUGAAAGCCCACGGCUCAACCGUGGAGGGUCAUUGGAAACUGGGGGACUUGAGUGCAGAAGAGGAAAGUGGAAUUCCACGGUGUAGCGGUUGAAAUGCGUAGAGAAUGUGGAGGAACACCAGUGGCGAAGGCGGACUUCUGGUCUGUAACUGACGCUGAGGCGCGAAAGCGUGGGGAGCAAACAGG